UACCCGCUGAAUUUAAGCAUAUGAGUAAGCGGAGGACAAGAAACUAAACAGGAUUCUAUCAGUAAUGGCGAGUGAAUGGAGAUGAGCUCACUUUGGAAAUUGGGGCUUCUUUGGCCUUGAAUUGUAGUCUCGAGGUGUGCUGCCAGUGGAGGCGCAGACGUUGGCAUCUUGGAAGAGAGCAUCAGUGAGGGUGAGAAUCCUGUCUGUCUUUUGCAGCCCUCCGCGCACGGUGCCCUUUCUGCGAGUCAUGCUCCUUGAAAUUGGAGUGUAAAAAAGGUGGUAAUUUUCAUCUCAAGCUAAAUAUUGGGUCGAGACCGAUAGAAAACAAGUACCAUGAGGGAAAUAUGAAAAGGACUUUGAAAAGAGAGUUAGAAGUGCCUGAAAUUGCUGAAAACGAAGAGAAUGGAACUAGCACAGCUUUGCGAGAUUGUUGCGUGGUAAAGUGCACCAGCGACACGCGUUGCUUCUCGCCUUGUGCGUCCACUCCAGCUUGUGGCCGAGGAAACCGCUGGGGGCAUGGUGCUCAGCCUGCGGGCGGGCAAAUGUUCUCUGCAGAACUCGUUCGCGAAUUGAAGCUUGACUGUCCAGUCGCAGCAUCCUGGGAGCUCUGAUUUGCCUGCUGGCACAUGCAGCUGCAUCCUGGAUGUUCUUCCUGGCAUCGGGAUGAUGAAAUGGGUUCCUUUCAACCCGUCUUGAAACACGGACCAAGGAGUUUAACGUAUGUGUGAGUCCACGGGCGGUGAACGCUUGUCGGCAAAGUGAAAGCGACUGCUGGGACGCUUGCGCCAGCAGCCAACCUAUUGAUUGAGACAGGCUUGAGAUUGAGCACAUCUGUUAGGACCCGAAAGAUGGUGAACUAUGCUUGAGAAGGGCAAAGUCAGGGGAAACUCUGAUGGAGGCUUGCAACGAUACUGACGUGCAAAUCGUUCGUCGCACUUGGGUAUAG
rnacentral:rRNA from 1 species